AUAUAUAUACACAUAUAAAAAAUAGGUCUGUGAGGCAUGGUGGGGUGCGCCUGUAAUGAGGAAAACAGAUACUCAAGAGGCUGAGGCAGGAGCAUCACCUGAACCUAGGAGUUCCAGGUGAGUCCGGGCAACAUAGUAAUAUCCCCAUCUCAAAAAACAAACAAAUAGUAAAAAGUAUUAAAUAUAUAUUUAUGAUAUAGUUUGACUCUGUGUUCCCCCUCCCCACCAAAUUUUAUCUUGAAAUGUAACCCCACGUGUCGAGGGAGGGAAAUGAUUGGAUUAUAGGGGUGGUUUCCCCCCCUGCUGUUCUCAUGCUAGUGAGCGAAUUCUCACAAGAUCUCAUGGUUUUAUAAAUGUUCGUUUUUCCUGCCCCUCACAUACUUCUCUUUCCUGCCGCCAGGUGAAGAAGCUCCUUGCUUCCCCUUCUGCCAUGACUGAGUUUUCUGAGGCCUCCCCAGCCAUGUGGAACUCCCAGGCCUCACUCUGAGCAGAUAGUUGAGCCGGGCCAAGGCCUCCAGGAAGACGUCAGCACCCUUGUUGGAGAACUCAUAGCGGCCGGCGAUAAAGAAGUACAAGGUCUUGUCCAAGUUGAAGUCCAGAUGCCUAAAGAACCCACAAGGCACGGUAAGGCCCAAAGCCCUCACCUGCUAGCCCUGGCCUCAAAACUACAAAUCCCAGAAGCUAUGGGUGGGGGCAGAGGAUGUCUUAGGUAAUACAGAGGCAUCAUGGGGCCUCCUGGAAGUUGUAGUUCUUCUCUUCAGAUGGGGCUUUCCUUUAAUCCUCAGCCCAUUGUUCCGGCGCUCAAGAACUAAGGAGGCCAAAUACCCAGGUGCCCCCUCCCUCAGACCCAGGAGUCUGGGCCCCCAGCCGCCCCCUCCCUCCCCCGGACCUAGAUGGUUAGGCUCCCAACGCCCUCCUCUCUUAAGACCUAGGUAUAUGCCCCACGUACCCAUAAAAAUGGCCCCGCACAAACUCCUGGAUUCGAGCCUUGCUCUGAGCAUGAAGGUUCUGGAACUCAUGCAUGGCAGAAAACUUCUUCACAUUCAGCCCAUUGGGGGUCACAAUAUCUGGGAUUGGGGGUGAGGGUCCCAUGUUUUAUUUGUUCAUUCAGAUCAAUGUUGUGGUUGAAUGAAUACAUGAAGAAAACACCCUUUA